rnacentral:ncRNA from 2 species
GGCGUUUUGUUUGUCCGAGGUCGCGGCCACACCAGCCGCGUGAAUAGGGAAGCAGGUGCGCCGCUGUCACUACAGACAACGGCAAGGCCUGCGCUGCCCCCGCAACGGUAACCGACAGCAUUUGUGCGCCAAGCGUACAGAUGCAGAAUUUCCCGACACACCACUGGGCUCGCCUGGGAAGGUGGGAAAUCCACAGUCGGCAGCCCGGAGACCUGCCUCGGCGCAAUGUGACUG